GUGCCAGGCGCCGCAGUAAUACGGAGGGUGCAAGCGUUGUCCGGAAUCACUGGGCGUAAAGGGUGCGCAGGCGGGGCAGCAAGUCGGAGGUGAAAGCCCAUGGCUCAACCAUGGAAGUGCCUUCGAAACUGUUGCUCUUGAGUCCCGGAGAGGCUGUCGGAAUUCGUGGUGUAGCGGUGAAAUGCGUAGAUAUCACGAGGAAUACCAGAGGCGAAAGCGGACAGCUGGACGGGUAUUGACGCUCAGGCACGAAAGCGUGGGGAGCAAACAGGAUUAGAAACCCCGGUAGUCC
rnacentral:rRNA from 1 species